rnacentral:rRNA from 1 species
GUGUCAGCAGCCGCGGUAAAACGUAGGAGGCGAGCGUUAUCCGGAUUUACUGGGUGUAAAGCGCGUGCAGGCGGAUCGGAAAGUUGGAUGUGAAAGCUCCCGGCUUAACUGGGAGAGGUCGUUCAAAACUACCGGUCUUGAGUACAGUAGAGGGAAGUGGAAUUCCGGGUGUAGUGGUGAAAUGCGUAGAUAUCCGGGGGAAUACCAGUGGCGAAAGCGGCUUACGGGAAUGUAACUGACGCUCAGACGCGAAAGCUAGGGUGGCAAAAGGGAUUAGAGACCCCGGUAGUCUUA